UACGAAGGGGGCUAGCGUUGCUCGGAAUCACUGGGCGUAAAGCGCACGUAGGCGGAUCUUUAAGUCAGGGGUGAAAUCCCAAGGCUCAACCUUGGAACUGCCUUUGAUACUGGGGAUCUCGAGUCCGGAAGAGGUGAGUGGAACUGCGAGUGUAGAGGUGAAAUUCGUAGAUAUUCGCAAGAACACCAGUGGCGAAGGCGGCUCACUGGCUCGUAACUGACGCUCAGGCACGACAGCGUGGGGAUCAAACAGG
rnacentral:rRNA from 1 species